ACGGUAACGCGGGCUUCGGCCUGGCGACGAGUGGCGAACGGGUGAGUAGAACAUCGGAACGUAUCCUCAAGUGGGGGAUAGCCCGGCGAAAGCCGGAUUAAUACCGCAUGAACUCUGAGGAGCAAAGCGGGGGACUUUCGGGCCUCGCGCUGGAGGAGCGGCCGAUGCCGGAUUAGCUUGUUGGUGGGGUAAGAGCCUACCAAGGCGACGAUCCGUAGCUGGUCUGAGAGGAUGAUCAGCCGCACUGGAACUGAGACACGGUCCAGACUCCUACGGGAGGCAGCAGUGGGGAAUUUUGGACAAUGGGGGCAACCCUGAUCCAGCCAUGCCGCGUGCGGGAAGAAGGCCUUCGGGUUGUAAACCGCUUUCAUACGGGACGAAAUGGUGCAGGUUAAUACCCUGUAUUGAUGACGGUACCGUAAGAAGAAGCACCGGCUAACUACGUGCCAGCAGCCGCGGUAAUACGUAGGGUGCGAGCGUUAAUCGGAAUUACUGGGCGUAAAGCGUGCGCAGGCGGCUCUUUAAGACAGGUGUGAAAUCCCCGGGCUUAACCUGGGAAUUGCGCUUGUGACUGGGGAGCUCGAGUGCGGCAGAGGGGGAUGGAAUUCCUGGUGUAGCAGUGAAAUGCGUAGAUAUCAGGAGGAACACCGAUGGCGAAGGCAGUCCCCUGGGUCGACACUGACGCUCAGGCACGAAAGCGUGGGGAGCAAACAGGAUUAGAUACCCUGGUAGUCCACGCCCUAAACGAUGUCAACUAGUUGUUGGGGAAGGAGACUUCUUUAGUAACGUAGCUAACGCGUG
rnacentral:rRNA from 1 species